UACAGAGGUCUCAAGCGUUGUUCGGAUUCAUUGGCGUAAAGGGUGCGUAGGCGGCGCGGUAAGUCGGGUGUGAAAUCUCGGAGCUUAACUCCGAAACUGCAUUCGAUACUGCCGUGCUUGAGGACUGGAGAGGAGACUGGAAUUUACGGUGUAGCGGUGAAAUGCGUAGAUAUCUGGAGGAACACCGGUGGCGAAGGCGGGUCUCUGGGCCGUAACUGACGGCUGAGGAGCGAAAGCGUGGGGAGCGAACAGG
rnacentral:rRNA from 1 species